GAAGGUGCGGCUUCGCAGUAUCGCGCUGAAUAUAUUGUGGAAGUGGCAGUGGUGCGUGACACCUAGGCAAGCAAUAUUAUUGUUCUCUAGAAACUUAAAUUCUGAAUACUCAGAUCUGAUUUUUUCUCGACAUGGCUGGAAAUAUAAAUGACCCAUAUGAGCGUUUGCUUAAUACGUACCGAAAUAUUUCGAUACAAUGCCUCGAGUCCUGCGUGCCAACGCUAAGAAAAACGAAGACGAGGCGCGGAGAGAUUCUCUGUGCCGAAUACUGUAUUGCACAUGAAAUGCAGCUAUUGAGAAAGUCUGUGCUCACCAAACUGCCACAGACAACAAAGAAAUAAGAAUUCACAUGACUAAAUGUUUUAGCACAUGGUUUAUAAUAAAGUGAAAUUUUGGUUCAUAACAACACUAUGGAAAAUGUUGUAUUUAUCAGUAAAGAUAAUUUGUAUACAAGCACUGUUAUAG